AAAUAUUCUAAUUCGGAAAGGUUAUUAAGUCUUUUAGUUUGUCAUAUUUUAUAAUCCAAAAUGUAAAUAUUUUAAACACAUAAGAAGGAAUGAACGAGAUAGAAUCAACAAAUAAGUUUUUGAAGAGAAAUAGUUCUAUGAACUUUAAAAGAACCGGCGCUACAAAUUGAUUGAGGAAAGUUCAUUUUUAAAACCCAAGCCGAACUGUAUGGUUAACGGGGGUGAGAUGAGUAGAAAAUAAGAGUUUCUCAUCAUCGUGACUAACGUGACGACCGAGAGAAAAACGCGGUAGCAGAACCCGCACCUGGUGCACGAAGUACCGCAAUCGUGAGUUACAUGUGGUACAAGUAUCUUCCACCCCCAUUUUGAACGGUUGGCGAUUGGCUCGUGACUUGACCACUCCUUCCAAUCGUCAGAAUUAAUUUUUGCCCUUUGUCACUGGUCAACAAUUGUUUGACCUCCAGAUCUUUACUAUUUUAUGUUUAACCUGACCGUUAGCUAGUCAUCUUCUACCACCACGCGUAAGUUAUCGUACAGAUCUUAUUUAAAAUAGAUAUAGAAAAAAGUCAUUUCGCGUUACUCUACAUAGUGAUUUUUUAAAUUAGCAUUUCUUAAUAACUCCAGAUUUUAUUUUUGUUUAGAAAUUUGUUAUGUGUUUGUUCAACAAGCUUUUUUUAUUCAUGUAUAAAAUAAGUUUUCGAGAUUUUUUCGUAGUAAAGCGUGCGAAUGUGAAUCGACACCCUUUUUGAUUUUUAAGAAAGAUUUGUGUAAUUCCAUCAGCGUAACUUUGUCUUGUCACAAAACAUGUCAGUCGUCUCGGUUAUUAACACUUUCGUUCUUGCAGCUUUCUGUUUGAGGUUAGUUUUUAGCCGACAUCUGUGUCAACAAUUUAAUUUGGAUAAACUCUUAAUGUUUACCCAGAAGAUCCAUAGCAGUAAAGGCAUGCUUGCCGGGUAGGCAACUUCCAGGGGAUUUGAAGACUGCCACGACCUGACCAAACUAGGCGUGCUGUUUCUAUGGUAACCAAGGUAGGAUAUUUCACCAGAAACUACUACGUAAAUAAGUUGGCACAAUUGCACCACCUGUCCUGAUAGAAGCGUAGGGAGGCUACAGGUAACUCUAAUAAUGAUCAUGAUCGCACAGAUACUAAUAUAGACACAACAGUUUAUUAUUGAACUGCUAGUUGCGAUAGAAAAGACCCUUCAUUUCUACUUGACUGUACAAGUGGGAGUCAAUGUGCCCUGCGGUAUUAUCCCAUUCUAUUGCUUCUGGAUGAAUAAGCACAGUGGUUUGAAGAAUCUAACCAAUACCUCAAACCCGGUUAAAUGGCACCAAUCCAUCAAAUCAGGAAGAGGCGCAGUGGUAUAUAUUUUUUUCGAGAAAAAGCUAAAGGAGAUUUUUCCUUUGGUAAAACCAGUAAAAGAUUUUCGUAACAAAGAAUAUGCCGAGGAAUUCGGUUAUAAGAAAUAUCCUUGCCACUAGAUGUCUGCAGAGUCGUGUGAAACAGGAAAUGUCUCGGUUGAUAUAUGCAAAUAUGCAAAUUAGUCUCACGCAAAACAAUCUGUCUGUUCGUCAUUGCAAAAAUUGACACCGAACUAAAUUUAGUGCAUAUAUGAAAGAAAUCCAUCAUUAGUCAUUCGAUUAAUUUUAGUUAGCCAAUUUUUGGAAUAGGAUAAUCAUCAUUAUAACAAAGUUUAAUUGAUAGUUGCAGACGUUUUAAUUCUCGAAAUUCGACUUUUUGGUUUCUUCUAUAUAAAACUAACUAGCCAGUCGGAUGGUCUUUGCUCUAUUGACAUCUUGUCUCUCUAUUAGACGUUAGGCCCAUCUGAUUAUUCCAUUCUUCUAUCUUGCCAUGAAAAGAGUCUGACAAUGGACUAUUACGGAGCCUAGCCACUGAGAUUAGCCCUUGUAAAUACACACGGCUGAUUACACGCUGCUACGCCUCAUAAAUCUUGGCUUGCAGAGUAUACGGUGGCUCUUCCUCCCUCACAUUUCGACUUGGUCAAAAUAGAUGGUUAAUGCCGGUUUUCUUACCAACACACGAGAAUCAAUGAACUGCUGCAACGCUUAUAUUUUACAUUGUAAUGUUAAAACGAUUAUAAGUAAAUUCACUCGGCUUCCAUUAUCGAUGUUAAGUUGAGCUUAAGGUUUCAAACCAUCAGCUACUUAAAAGAAAAUUAAUCGUUGAAGAUAGAGCCGAACACUCGCCCAAUCAGAGAGAUUUUUCAGCUAUGUACGCAAAAAGUGAAAGGGAAAAAAGACAGAAGGAUGUUGAAACAAUGUAAUUACAUUGGGCUAAACGGCUGAGAAUGUGAAACUUAAAAACUAGUUCGCAUUAGCUGAGUAAUAAUGUCGAACCAAAUCUUGGUAUUAACGCGAUUUUACCUGAGGAAAGAAAAAGGAUUACCUUGGUUGACGUGAGCCAGACCUAUUACUGCUGCAACUAGCCUAAUUAAAUGAACCGAUAUGUAGAAAUGACUGAUGCCAAGGGCUACUAAUAACUCGGCAGUUUCUGUGUCUACGUCAUUUGUUUCUUUUUCUCCCCAACGCUGCCAAAGAUAUUAUGAUCUCAUCGGCACAUUAGCUAAAACACCUCUUUUUUUUUCUAAGGCUAUAUGGAACGUAAAGAGAGAGAGAGAGAGAGAGGACUGCUGAAAAAAAUGAGAUUAAACGAUUCCGAGAAAAACCUUCUGGUUGAUGCCACCCCAAAUGACUUUUUAGAAUUAAUAAGUUUAAAGCUUAUCCAUGCCACUGUGUAUAUUGAUGGAAUCUGCGAGGAAGAAAAAGAGCAUAAGUAAGCACCUGAAUAAGAUAACAUCUGUUUAGGGACUCGAACGUGCUGCACGCUUUUCGGAUUCGCUUAAUUAUUUCUUCUCAGCACAUGGAUUUGCUGAUUGGCUGGCUGACUUGCAUGUAAUGUGGGUGACAUCGUUCUUACAACACACAUUAAUCAUUGCACGUAAGUUCAGCCUAAGUCUGCAUACAAUAAUAAAUAGUGCUGCAAAAUGAUAAAUAUUCAGCAUUUGCACUCAAUUGCCUUUCCUCUAUUGUAUUUUCUACUUCGAGUGUUUUUCCAGACAGAAUCACGAC
rnacentral:lncRNA from 1 species